rnacentral:rRNA from 1 species
CCUACGGGGGGCUGCAGUGGGGAAUAUUGGACAAUGGGGGCAACCCUGAUCCAGCCAUGCCGCGUGUGUGAAGAAGGCCCUCGGGUUGUAAAGCACUUUCAGUGAGGAAGAACGCCUGGUGGUUAAUACCCAUCAGGAAAGACAUCACUCACAGAAGAAGCACCGGCUAACUCCGUGCCAGCAGCCGCGGUAAUACGGAGGGUGCGAGCGUUAAUCGGAAUUACUGGGCGUAAAGCGCGCGUAGGUGGCUUGAUAAGCCGGUUGUGAAAGCCCCGGGCUUAACCUGGGAACGGCAUCCGGAACUGUCAAGCUAGAGUGCAGGAGAGGAAGGUAGAAUUCCCGGUGUAGCGGUGAAAUGCGUAGAGAUCGGGAGGAAUACCAGUGGCGAAGGCGGCCUUCUGGACUGACACUGACACUGAGGUGCGAAAGCGUGGGUAGCAAACAGGAUUAGAUACCCGUGUAGUC